rnacentral:lncRNA from 10 species
AGCAGGAGGAGCGUGCCAAGCAGCAGGGAGAUCAUUCGCUGAAGGAACAUGAGCUCUUGGAGCAGCAGAAGCGGGUAAUACCCCUCCCCCUAACCUUUGACCUCGUGGUCCAGUCAGUUGGCUGUCAUUUAUAGUGCUUAGAGUGCACCAUUCAAGUUUUCCCUGGAGGCUACUUUGUUCUCAACUAAGUUCUAGUAUCUUCCAAAGCUUUCAAUUUUUCUUGAAGUUCAGGAAUUGACAAACUAUGACCUGUGGCCUGCAUGUGUAUGGCCUAUGAGCUAAAAAUAACUUUAAAAUUUUUUAAGGGUUAUAAGAAAACCCAAACCAAA